CCUACGGGUGGCAGCAGUGAGGAAUAUUGGUCAAUGGGCGCGAGCCUGAACCAGCCAAGUAGCGUGAAGGAUGACUGCCCUACGGGUUGUAAACUUCUUUUAUAAAGGAGUAAAGUGAGGCCCGUGUGCCUUUUUGUAUGUACUUUAUGAAUAAGGCUCGGCUACCUACGUGCCAGCCGCCGCGGUAAUACGGAGGAUCCGCGCGUUUUCCGGAUUUAUUGGGUUUAAAGGGAGAGUAGAUGGGUUGUUAAGUCAGUUGUGAAAGUUUGCGGCUCAACCGUCAAAUUGCAAUUGAUACUGGCAGUCUUGAGUACAGUUGAGGUAGGCGGAAUGCGUGGUGUAGCGGUGAAAUGCUUAGAUAUCACGAAGAACUCCGAUUGCGAAGGCAGCUUACUAAACUGCCACUGACAUUGAUGCUCGAAAGUGUGGGUAUCAAACAGGAGUAGAUACCCGUGUAGUC
rnacentral:rRNA from 1 species